rnacentral:rRNA from 1 species
CCCUUAGAUGUUCUGGGCCGCACGCGCGCUACACUGAUGCAUUCAACGAGUCUAAAACCUGCUCUGAUAGGGGUGGGUAAUCUUUUGAAUGUGCAUCGUGAUUGGGAUAGAUGAUUGCAAUUUUUCAUCUUCAACGAGGAAUGCCUAGUAAACGCAAGUCAUCAGCUUGCAUUGAUUACGUCCCUGCCCUUUGUACACACCGCCCGUCGCUCCUACCGAUUGAAUGAUCCGAUGAAUAUCAUGGAUUGAGGAUGCAAGUAGGUUCACCUAUCUUCAUCUUCGAGAAGUGAAGUAAAUCUUAUCAUUUAGAGGAAGGAGAGGUCGUAACA